GUGAGCGCUCAGGUAGCUCACUCUGGUUUGGUGGGGGAGGUUGGGUGGGGGAAGGGCGGCUCAGUUCACUUUUUUGUGCAAGCUUUUCCUCCUUCUUAUUAUAGUGUGGAAAUGUUUAAGCCCCACGUACCUUCACCUCUGUGGGAUACUGGGGAGUCCUGUUCCGCCAAAGGUGAUUUUUAUGCUCCUUUGAUGUAGUCUAUUUCGUUCGGUGCUGGGGAGAGGAAGCGUGUGGCGUCUAGAUUGCAGCCAUGAUUACCCGGAAGUCCCAAUGACCUCUUUCCUUAUAGGGAUAUAUAUCAUUUUAACUUAUUGAGUCUCUUAAAAGUUUUUUGGUUUUGUUUUUCUUUUUUCCCCUCUUUUUUAAUUACCUUUUGAUGGUUCUCUUUAGUUCUGUGCUUGGACAUCAAAUUUUCUGUUCAGGUCUGGUCUUUUCUUUACGAAUUCUUGAAAUUCUUCUAUUUUGUUAAAUGACCAUACUUUCCCCUGUAAGAAUAUAGUCAGUUUUGCUGGGUAGUUGAUUCUUGGUUGUAGAACUAGUUCCCUUGCUUUCCAGAAUAUCGUAUUCCAUUCCUUUCUUUUUUUCAGUGUGGAUGCAGCCAGAUCCUGAGUUAUCCUCACUGUGUUUCCUUGGUAUCUGAAUGACUUCUUCUUGGCAGCUUGUAAUCUUUUCUUUGGUCUGAUAGUUCUUGAAUUUGGCUAUAACAUUCCUGGGUGUUGUCAGUUGGGGAUUAAGUACAGGAGGUGAUCUGUGGAUUCUAUCAAUCUCCACUUUUCCCUCUUGUUCAAGGAUUUCAGGACAGUUUUCUUUAAUAAUUUCCUGUAAUAUAAUGCCCAGGCUUUUUCUUUUGUCAUGGUCUUCUGGUAGGCCAAUAAUUCUUAAAUUGUCUCUCCUUGAAUGAUUUUCACUAUCUCUCCUCCUCUGUUUCUAAGCUAUUACCAUUUUUACCUUGGCAAAAAUCUCCUCAAUAUGCUCCCUUCUCUCCUUGGGCACUGCCACCAGUCUAGUGCUGGCCCUCAUCAUCUACUACCUUGAUUACUACAAUAAUAUUUGUGGAUCUGCCUACCUCAAGCCUCUCCCCACUUCAAUCCAUUUUCCAUUCAGUCACUCAAGUGAGUUUCUUAAAAUGCAAGUGUGAUCAUGUCACCCUUCUAUUCAAUAAACUCCAGUAGCUUCACAUUAGCACCAAGAGCAAAUACAAGGUACUGUGUUUGGCAUUCAAAGCCCUUCAAAACCUGUGCCUGAAAUGUUCUCCCUCCUCCAAUUCAACUAUUUACCUCCCUGGCUUUCUUUAAAUCUCAACUAAAAUCGCACCACUUACAGGAAGUCUUUUCUAACUCCUUGAGUUCCCAGGGUCUUCCUUCUAUUAAUUAAUUCCUUUUAUCCAAUAUAUAGCUUGCUCUGAAUAUAUAUGUUAGCAUGUUGCAUCUCCCCCCAUUAAACUUAGAAGCUCCUUGGGGGCUAGUGCUGUUUUUUGUAUCUUUUUCUAUCCCUAGCGCUUAGCUCAAUAUCUGGCAUUUAGUAGCUGUUUUUCACUUAUCAAAUUGAAUUGAAAUGACUGUGUAUUUUAUUGUCCUGGACUUGCUUGUUACAUGACCUAUUUAUGACAAAUCCUCAUUGUCUGUAAUCAAUGCUUCUUCUUCAAAAUCUUUUUAAUAAUAUUGAGUAUUUCAAAAGUCUUAGAUUUAAGCUGCAAUAGCUAUUAUACUACCAAAAUCUUUUGGUUCUAUACUUUUGCCAGGAAUAGAAAUCAAGCUUACUCAAUUACAAAUAUCAAUCUCUUCCCUUUUUUUAAAAAAAAAGAAAAAAUUGGCAUAACAUUCAUAUUUCUCCAGACCUGCCUGCCACACCUUUCCUGUUCUCCGUGACCUUUAAAGAUCCUUUGCCAUAACUUGGUAAUCAUAUUGCCAAUCUUUCAGUAUCUCAGGAUAUAGUUCACCUGCUCACUUGAAUUAACCAAUUGUUUUCUCACUGUUUCCUUUGUUAUUUAUUUUGGGUAUCAGCUCCUUGUUGACCAUUGUAUCCUGUCCUCUCCUUUCCAGUCCCAAAAUUAUUCUCUUUGGCAGAGAAAAGAAAAAAGAUGAGCAGUUUUAUCUUUUCUCUGCUUUAGUUAUUCUCACCUUACCCAACUCUAAGUGAUCCCGUUCCUUAUUUGGUCCUCUUCUUCUCUUCAUUAGAGCUUUAUAAAAAACCAACCCCAUGUUUUCCGUGCCUUUAGCUUUGUAGGAUUGUCACACAAUUGUCCAGAGUUUUUGACACUCUAAAAUCAUUUCUAAUAGUGUUGCAAGAUCAUCACAAGCGUUUGUAUUUAUCUUCUAUAAAUAGUUUUUGCUUCUAUGUUCUGUACAUAGCUCUUAAGAACUGGGGUGUCUUACUGAAGUCUCCAUGUCUCCAGAGAAGUUUCUUCAAACCCCUUCUCCUUUUUCUUUAUUGCUUAUUUGGGGUUUUCAAAACUUCACUCCUGAGAGCUUCCUCCCUCCUCUCCCAUUCCCAAGGCAAGUUGACUUCCCUCAGCAAGUUUAUCCCUGGGAUCCUACCUAUUCUUCCUCUGAAUUCUUUGAAAUUCAUUAUCUGUAAAUCUAGGGUGAAAAUCAGACUACUCCUUGAUUUCCUUAUAAGAGGAAGUAAUUAUUAUAUCCUAAGGUUCCCAUCACUUACACACCAACAACCAGUUCCUCAUUGUUGGUAAUACCCAGAUCCAGGAUAGAAUUUGCCCUUGUUGGUUUCUCUAUCUUUUGAAGGAUGAAAUUAUCAUUUAAUCAAGUCAUCCUUACUUUGCCUGACAAAUUAAAGACUUGAUGGUCUUGUUAUAGAGCUCUAGUUCCUUGAAAGUUGGGGCUGUAUUUUUUGCUUUUUUUUAUUCCCCAGGAUACAAUAUACCUGGAACAUAUAUUUUGUUGUUCAGUCAUUUUUCAGUCAUGUCCAACUCUUUGUGACCUCAUUUGGGAUUUUCUUAGUAAAGACACUGAAAUAGUCUGCCAUUUCCUUUUCCAGCUCAUUUUACAAUGAGGAAAUUGAGGCAAAUAGGAUUAAGUGUCUUACCCAGAGUCACACAGCUAGUAAUUGCCUGAGCCAGAUUUGAACACCAAAGAUGAGUCUUCCCUGACUCUAGGCCUGCUGUUCUAUCCACCGUGCCAUCUAGUUGCCCUGGCACCUACACAGUAAAGGCUUAAUAAAUUGUGUUGAGAAAUUGUUGACUGUGGCAGAGUCAGGAAUUAUGGCAGGAAGUCAGAGAAAGAAAAGGGGGAAAAAUACUUUGCCCUUUACCCCUUUCAACCAGGAGUGAGUAGGUGAAAAUCAGGAAGAUUUGGUGGGGUAGGUGUUUCCCAAUGUAUAAAAUUAAAACUAGCAGUAGAUUGACAUUUCAGAAAUCUUUAGAACUAACAGUCACAUGAUCAAAUAUUUAGAGCUAGAAGAGAGUUUAGAAGCCAUCAAGUCCAACUUCCUCAUUUUACAGGGGAGUAUCCUGAAUCCCAGAGAGGUUAUAUUAGCUGGCUAAGCAUCGUUUAACUAAUAAGUAUUUGAAGCAGGAUUCAAACUUACUUCUUUCUGACUCCAAGUCCACUACUUUUUCCAAUAUGGCACCUAGCUGCCAGGGAUUUAUUUUCAUCUAUUCAAUGACCUUCUCCUCUAUAACAAUAAAAACUCAAUACUUGCAGGAGUUGGCCUCAGUAUAUUGGAGAGUACUGAGCAAAAAAACAUGCCAACAUUGGUGAAUGGGGCAGAUGGACUUAAAAUGUGAGGGGGUUUUGCGUCUUGAAUGUCCCUAAUAUAAGAAUUCUAUUUUGGCAACUUGUCUAGAUUAAUUUGUUAGUCUUUAUCUUAUACAUUUGCCAUAGUUGAGACUGGAUAGCACUCUGUAAGUAAGUCAAGUCAAGUCAAGUAAGAAACUUGACUAGCAGGGUUGGUUGAUCUUUCAUUAUUUGUAUUUGCAAGACUAGUCCUUAAGUACACCCAAGAAUGACAACAAUUAUUCACAUUUAUAUCUCACUCUAGGUUUGCAAGAUACUUUGUUCAGAAGGACUUACCCUUGGAAUAUCAGAAACUACAGUCUACUGGACAGGUUUCAGGAAGGGCCAUAGACAAAGGACAGAGUAUAGAACAGCACAUGAGUGGACAGGGAAUUCAGGUCCUAGGCUCCUGCUUGUUCUCUAUAAUAAUAAUAAUAGUAAUAACUCAACAAUCACUGCAAGAGUGGCAAAGAAUUAGAAAUUGAGGUGAUGUCCAUCAACUGGGGAAUGGCUGAACAAAUUGUGAUACAUGUUGGUGAUGGAAUACUAUUGUGCUCUAAGAGACGAUAAGCAAGAUGAAUUCAGAAAAAGCUGGAAAGAUCUACAUUAACUGAUUCAGAGCGAAAUAAGCAGAACUGGGAGAACAUUGUACAUAAUAACAGCAAUAUUGUACAAUGAUCAACUGUGAAAAUUUGGCUACUCUCAGCAAUGCAAUGAUCUGGAACAAUCCUGAAAGACAAACUUAUGAUGGAGAAUGCUAUCCAGCUCAAGAGAACUAACUGUUGAAGUUGGAUGGAUAUAGAUGAACGUAUACUGUCUUUCACAUCAGUGUAUUUAUGGUUUUAUUUUGGGGUUUUUGUUAUAUAUGUGUGCUCUUACAACAAUGACCAAUAUAGAAGUGUGUUUUGCAUGAUAAUAAAAAUGAAAUACAAAAACACCAAACCCCAAUCCUACAAGGGGCAAAUGUUUUUUCCUAAUCAAAGCAGAAACUCCAUAAAGCUAGCUGGCAACUGGCCACACCUAUGCAGCUUCAUCUCCCUCUUUGCUGAUACCUAUGCUCUCCCUUGUAAAUUCCAAAUCUACUUUGAUACAACCCUGAUGUGUGAUAUCAUUUAAAAGUCUUUUCAUAAGGGCCCUAGGGAUUAAUCUUUUUUUUAAACGCUUACCUUCCAUCUUGGAGUCAAUACUGUGUAUUGGUUCCAAGGCAGAAGAGUGUUAAGGGCUAGACAAUGGGGGUUAAGUGACUUGCCCAGGUUCACACAGCUGGGAAGUGUCUGAGGUCACAUUUGAACCUAGGACCUCCUGUCUCUUGGCCUGGCUCUCAAUCCACUGAGCAACCCAGCUGCCCCCUUCUAGGGAUUAAUCUUAUUGACAAUAAAUGUAGAUGACUUAAGGUUCAUUUAUAGUCAAACAUAGUGAUGAUCUGAAAUCCACUAACAAAAGCAGUUAUUCAGUCCCCUCCAUUGUUAAGUUCAAUAUUCAGCCCAUGAUCUUAUACAUUCUGGAAUAAUGAGUCUAGGAAAUCAUUAGCUAGGAUUGGGGCUAUCCCUUACUCUGACCUUUGCCUGUCACAUUUCCUUUUUUGAGUACUUUAUAUGUGCCAGGUACUGUGCUAAGUACUAGUGGUGCAAAAAGAGGAAAAAAGUCCCUGCCUUUGAUGAAAUUGAAAUCUAAUUGAGGAGGCAAUAUGCAAACAAAUAUAUGGUAUACAGAAUAAGGGAAUAAUAAGCAGACAGAAGGCACUAGAAUUAAGAAGGGUUGGGAAAGACUUCCUAUAAAUUUGAGAACAUUCUUGAGAUGGGGAAUAGCCCGAAAAAAUGCCAGGAGCUGAGAUAUGAACUAUCUUUUUUUGUGGAAUAGCCAGGAUGCCAAUGUCACUAAAUCAAAGAGUAUUGACAAGAAGGAAAUUUUUAAACAAAGGUAAGAGGGAGAUAAGUUAUAAAGGGCUUUGAAUGGCCAAUGGAGUAUUUUGUAUUUGAUCCUGGAGAUGACAGGGAGUCAUUGGAGUUUAUUGAGUUAGGGAUGGGGUGACAAAGUUGGACCUAUUGUAGACUUUAUAUAUUUUACUUUUCUGCUUCUGUUUACUUUAAGUAAAUUCAUAUACCUACACAUGCUUUUCUGUAUCAAUCAAUUCAUAUCACACAGUAAUUUGGUAGCCAGGUAGCACAAUUUAUUUAGCCAUUUUCCAGUUGAUAGGCAUCUACUUUGUUUCCAGUUCUUUGAUACUACAAAAAGUGUUACUAUUGAUAUUUGGGUGUAUUUAGGAAUUCCUCAUAAAUCUUUGAUCUUUUGGGAAGUAUACAUAGGAAGUGGGACAUUUUAGUCAGUUUUUAAAAAUGAUUCCAAAUUGCUUUCCAGGAUGGCUGAAUCAAUUUACAGCUCCAUCAACUAUGUGUUAGUAAGGGUACAUCCAUUUCUACCACUCUUUGAGGACUCUUCUCUUGCUCUGAGUAAUCGAGCAAAGUCUCAGAUAGCUAAUUGGACGUUAGGUAGUGUUCUAACGAAAUUUCCCCUCCCUCCUUUCUGGAGUCAAACAGGUGAUAUCAUCUCCUAGGGACUACUUGCAUUCUGAUAAUAGAUAGUAAGAAAUAACAAAAGGGAAUGAUUAAGAGAAACCUGAGAGGGCUUGUAUAAAAUGAUGCAGAGUAAGGUAAGCAGAACCAGGAGAACAAUAAAAUGGCAAUAUUGUAAGGGGAAAUGACCUUGAACAACUUAAUUAUGAUCAAUACAAUAGUCAACUACCAUUAUAGACUGAUGGCAAAGUAUGCUUCCCACCUCUAGUUGGAGAGAGAUUAGAAGAGUAGAAGUUAGUCAGUCAGACAAACAAAUGGAGACACACACAUACACACACACACACACACACACACACACACACACACACACACACACACACACACAUUGCUGCCCCAGGAUUUACUCCAUAUUUUACUGAUUAAAGAGAGAAACUUUAGCUACCCAUUGAUUUGUGCUUUGGAAUAUUGGAAGAGGGAACAAAUCUAUAGACGUAUAAGCAUUAGAUCAAGAGACUGGAAAGAAAAAUUUAAAAGCCUACUGUUUGACUGUAGCUUUAGUGCAAGAGACUAUUAGGAUGACAAGGAAAAUAAAACAGGACCUUGUAGUAAUAACUUUUGGUCAGACAAAUCCUGAAAUAUCUAGAGUUGCAUACCUUCCCCCAAAGUGAGUCCUCUGGAGAUAUUUCCUGCAAUUUUAUCUACACCUUACUGAGAAAAUGUUAGUACUCUCAAAAGAAACUAGAAAAAUAAAUCAGGAGGUCCAGUUUGAGGGGGAAAAGAAUUCUAUUUUAGAUAUUCUGAAUUUGAGAUGUCUAUAGGACAUACAAGAAAAGAUGUCUAGAAGGCAGUUAAUGUUGUAUGACUAUAGAUCAGGAAUGAAUGAAUGCAUGCCCUUUCUUGUGCAAAUUUGGAGAAAUGAGGGUUGAAGGCAGUGAGGAAAGGAUUGAUGAAAAUGGCUUCCCUCACUACUCCCUCCCAGAGUCACUGAAUUACUUGAGGGAGACAAAAUGGAGAUCUCCCUUCCAUGAAGGAUUGCCCCUUGAUGGCCAUGUGUGCCCUCAAGGGCGUCAGGGAGGUCUUCUCUACAAAGAGAGGUAUAUGGGACUUCAAUCUGGAUAUGAACUGCUUUGGGGCACUCACAAGAUUCCUCCUCAUGUCUUCUUGAAAACUGGCAACAAGAUGGAGUCUGCCAAUGAGUUUACUCUCUAAAUGUAAAUAAACAAGAUUGAACUUGCUAUCUGACUGCUUAUUUGAUUUAAUUGUUGAUUGGGACAAAGGGUAAAGGUUAGAGGGAUUGUAGGUCACCCUAAAUCUCUUUCUAAAUAAAUCUAAUUACUAAAGUACAAGGUUUUCUCGUAGCCAGGGGAGAGAAUAUUGCUCACCGAUUAGAGUCCAGUAUCUCAGUAGUUCAUGGAAUGAUAGUCUCUGGAGAAAUUUAAGUUUGUUGUCAGGAACCAGAGGAUGUUUUAAACAGGAACCCUCAAUGUUAGGAUUUCAUCCCCAAAGAUGUCUCGAAUGGCCUAGAGAAAUAGCUCCUCCUUCCCCUCCCUUCUAUAUCUCUGCCCUCAAGACCCUCUCCUCCAAAGAAUUUCCCAGAAAUCUUUGUCCAGUUUCCAACUGUUAUUCCUGCCUCGUGCAACUAUAGAACUUUCAACACUCCAUUUUAACCCAAUGGUUUUUUUUUCCUACUCCCCAUCAUUACAAUAGUAUCCCCUGAGGGAAAAUAAUAUUGGAUUAUAUUAUUUAUUAUCAGUGUUUCUAUGAAUCCAUUCAUUGCCUCAAACUCCAGACUCUGAAAGUCAAGCAGUUUCUAAAGGGUAUAACUGGGAAAGGCAAUUACUUGUAGGUCCCUAAGACAUUUAUCCAGGCAGGGAUUCCUACUAUUAGUUAAUCCAAAAAAACAAAAUGGCAUUUCUUGUAUGCCAGAGAGGGGUGGGUCAGCCUAGUGAGAGUGAAGCUAUAGAUAAAAUAAUGGAGGAGAGGGCAAGAUCUAAGUCUAACUUCUCAUUAAAAUAUCUACCAAUUAGGAUUGCCAAGGGAAGUCCAAGUGAUGUAUUAUCAAUCCAAUUAGGAGGAAGAUACACCUCAGUAUAAGAUUCCAUCAGCCUUCUUCCUGUUUGAGGUCUUACCCAACAGAGGUGCUCGAGAUUGAUCUAUCUUAUUGAUGGAUAGCUUGCCCCUACUAAUAAAUGGUUAUACUCAGAGAAAUAGACCCCCUUUUUUUAGUUAAAAUUCCAACCAUGACACACACUGCCUGAUACAGAAUAAGCACUUAAUAGAUGUUUGUUGACUAAUUGAAGCAUAGUCCAUAUACAAAGUAAUUAUGGGAUGUGAACAGUAUGAGAAUUGGUAGAAUUAGGAAAGAUCUCAUGAAGAAGAUGGGACUGAACAAUGCUUGAAAGAAGUUUGGAUUCCAAGAAGCAGAGGUGAGGAGGAAAGGCACUCCAGGCUUGGGGGAUGAUUUAUGAAAAAUUAUGGAGUUUGGGGAUGGAAUUCUAAGUAUGGGGGACAACAAAGAAAAAAACUUGAUUGGCUGGAAUAUAGAGUGUAUACAAUGUGUGAGGGAAAGAAAAAUGUAUUCAUUCUAAAAAGAGAGUUUAAAGCUAGAUUAGACGUUCAUAAAUUCUGGAUAGAAGAAACUAUAAUUCUUCCUAGAGUCAAGAGUGAGACACUAAAUAGUGGAGGGAGUGACACAGUCUCAUCCUUACUGAUGUAGUUCAUGUCUGUGAAUAUUCCAUCUGUGGUCAAGUUAAGUUUACUUGUCUUGCUUGAUUUUUAUUCUGGUGUAGUGCCAUAGAGUUAAAUUUCAGUCAUCUGUACGUACUUGGUGUUUACUAAGUGUCAGAGCCACAUUAAAUUCUAGCCCCAUCUCAAGGUAUAGGGAAUUUAUCCAGCCUGUUUUUUUUUCACCAAAUUAAUGAGCACAUUUUCAAUGCUUUUAUCCAGGCCAUCAAUAAAAAUAUGUCAUAAUACUGCUCCCUUCACUCCCCUACCAACUAGUCUGGUGGUGCAAAAGUCUAGACCAUAGUACUUACUCACUGAUGAAAAUGUCACAUAUGAUAAAUCAAGACCUGACUGAAAUCCAAAGAGAUUCCAUCGAUUGCUUCCCUUUUAUCUAUGUGAUCUGUCACUCUAGCCAAGAAGGAAAUUAAAUAGGUCUGGCACAUUUUGUUCUUCACAAAACUGUAUUGGUCUACCUGGUUUCUCAUGACUUUCCACUGGACUGUGCUAUAAGCAGAAUAUUUGAUGAUUUGGACCAGUAUCUUUGUAGGAGUAGAGCUAAGAUAGUCUUUCACCACUUUCUCCUAAUUUACAGGUGGCUCCUGCAAAGUAGAGUGCUAGACUCAGAAUCAGGAAGACUCAUCUUUAUGAGUUCAAAUCUGGCCUCAGACAUUUCCUAGCUAUAAGAUCUUGGGCAAGUCACGUAACCACAUUAGCUUCUAGUCUUCAUCUAUAAAAUCUAUAAAAUGAGUAGAAAAUAUAGUAUCGUUCGUUGCCAAGAACACUCUAAAGUGGGGUCACAAAGAAUCAGACGUGACUGAAAGAAUACUGAGUUGCAUUUUUCCUUUUACACUUCUGAGGGAACUUCCCCUAUUCUCCAUUGUUUUAAAUUAACCCACCAUCAAAUGCCUCUGCCAUGAUUCCCUGGGUAGCUGAACAUGUGUAGCAUCCCUCCUACACGUGUCUCCAUUCAGCUUGGUUAUGCAUUUUUCAGUCUUUUUUUUUCCUUCUGUGGUAUGGUUUGCAGCCCUCUCAAUGCAGGUGUCAGUCACUCUCUGAUUACAAUUGAACUUUCCCCCCCAAAACUGAGCAUAGUAAUUUUCCUCAGGGGAGGGAUGAGGAGAUGAAUUAAGUUAUUUUUCAGUGUUAUCCUAAACCUGGAUUAAAAUUUUAUUUUUUCACGAGUAGAAAGUAGCUUGAAAUUCAUCAGGCAACCUAGAGCCAACAUGACACUUUCUGUAUAGGACUUCUCUGGCAUUAUUCCUCCAAAAGGUAGUAAUUUAGGACUGUGUGUAGUUUUUUCUAAAAUUACUUAGAAAAGCAUGUUAUUCCCUACAGUAGCUUAAUCAUUAACAGCAUGAAACCCUGUGGGUAUUCCAAAGUUAGCAAGAACCAUCUGUGCAGUUGGAUUUGGCCCCACCUCCUAUUCAAAAAUAUAAACAGAUCUUUCUGUAUUGUGAAUUCUUAUUGUUUCCAUGUCACAUUAUAUCUGCCGCCCUAAUCAAGCCUUGUUGCCAGUCAUCACUUCUCAGAACACAAUAGUCAUGAGGAACUGUUGCCUGUUUGUCACCUGAGGUGAAAAGAAAAUACAGCUGACUCCCAUUUUGCCACAGGUAUAAGAGGAACAUAUCCCAGGAAGAAUGUAGAAGAGAUGCAAGGACUCUGAGGAGGACAAGAGAAUACAAAAAGGGAGCACAGACUUAACCUGAAGAGCGCCAAAAGAGCACACAGGUCAAAAAAAAAAAAGAAGAGGAAAUCAAUCCAGGAAGGAUUGAUGCACUUCUAAGCCAAUACAAAGGACUUGAAACUAGUGUGAGUCUCAAGGUUGCAAUGCUUGACAUACAUUAAGACAUAGGUCUUCCUUGUAUCCACACUCUUUGUGAAAAUACUUACAGACAAGUAUCUCAAAUUUGGCUCCUACCUGGCUCCUAUAAUCUAAUCCAUUUUCUGUCUUUCAUAAUGAGGCAACUUUCUGUAGUCCUGGCUACUGACUGGGUAAAUGCAUUAUUGCUUAUAUCAUUUUAAUUGGGCCCUGAUUCAAGGACCUGUUAUAGAUUUAUUUUUCCUUUACUUAGAAUUUUUACACAUAAGAUUUUGAUAGUCUACAUUUCAUCCAGAAAUUAUCCUUUUUUAUUUUGGAUUUUUUUAAUGUUUUUUUUUUAUUUCUCUUGCCAAUUGAUUCAUAUACCUCAUAACUCAGCCAUACUUCCUUGAGUGAUCCCUGUGUUUUUCAAUCACCCUGUUCAGGAGGGUAUGUAUAAAUAUUAUUAUUUUAAAUUGCAAAAUUUAAAUUCCUUUUGAGAGUAAUUUUAGGUUAAAAAACAUGCUACCUCUCCGAAUCUAGAAACUGAACUGUCUGGAGAAGACACCAUGAAGAUGCCUCCACAGACCACAAGCUGCAUGAGAAGAUCCAGAGGGAACUUUGGGAUAUGGUGAUUUGAACUGUGUGGGGUUUAAAUGCAUUUGCUUUGUAUGUAUACUCUUAUGCCAAAGGGGACUUCCCCCUAACUGGCUUUUUGUUAAUGCACCUUGAAAUUAUUGGUUUUGUUCUCUUUUCCUUUUAUCCACAAAUUAUUGCAAUCUUUAAGUUGAUUAUGUUUCCAUGAUCCUUUUGGGGAAACUGGUUUCCCAAUAUGAUCACAGGGAGGUAUGUAAAAAUGGAGAUUUGAACCCCAGACUUCAAUCCCCAGAAGUUCUUGGUAUUUCCCAGAAUUCCCUAUAAUCUCACCUGAGUCUCCACCUGGGCGAGAUCACAAUUAGUAUUUAACUGGCAGUAAUGAAUGCUUCCCAUGGGCUCUCUCUGCUUGGCCAUUGCAAUGAUGUAGUAAGUAAGCUUUGAAUGGACUAAGCAACCCUGGGCACAUGGUGUAUUUUCUUUAUUCCUUGAUUUUCUAAUAAUCCUUAAUAAACCUCAUAAAAUAUAA